UACGAAGGUGGCAAGCGUUACUCGGAAUUACUAGGCGUAAAGGGCAGGUAGGUGGUUUGAUAAGUCUGUUGUGUAAGCUCCCGGCUUAACUGGGAGAGGUCAACGGAAACUAUCAGACUUGAGUAUAGGAGAGGUUACUGGAAUUCCCGGUGUAGCGGUGAAAUGCGCAGAGAUCGGGAGGAACACCAAUGGCGAAAGCAGGUAACUGGACUAUUACUGACACUCAGCUGCGAAAGCUAGGGGAGCAAACAGG
rnacentral:rRNA from 1 species